rnacentral:tRNA from 1 species
GCCUGGCUGGCUCAGUCAGUAGAGCACACAACUCUUGAUCCCGGGGUCAUGAGUUCAAGUCUCAUGUUGGGGG